UUCCUUCUGCCCUGCCUUACCCCCUCUACCACACAUCUAACCUUGAAGCAGAUGGGCUACAGCGGCAGAAGACCACACCAGGUGCCACUCCUGUUAACUGAGAACAAGAAACUGAGGAUACAAUUCACACAGGCUCACUAAAACUGGACAAAGGAAGACUUAAAGAAUGUUACCUGGUGUAAUGAAUCUCUAUUUCAGCUGCAACAUUCGGAUGGUAGGGUCAGAAUUUGGCAUAAACAGCAUGAAAGCAUGGAUCCAGCCUGCCUUGUAGCAAUUGUUCAGGCAGGUGGUGGUGGUGUAAUAGUGUGGGGGACAUUUUCUUGGCACAGUUGUUUCUUGAACAUGACAGUGAGUUCACUGAUCUGAAUGGCCUCGACAGUCACCAGAUCUCAUUCCAAUAGAUCAUUUUUGGGAUGUGGUGGAACGGGGGAUUAGUAUCUUGGAUGUACAGCAUACAAGUCUGCAGCAACUGCGUGAUACCAUCAUGUCUAAAUCUCUAAAGAAUGUUUCCAGCACUUUGUAGAAUGUACAACACAAGGAAUGAAGACUGUUCUGAAGUGACAUGAGACUACAAGAUCUGGGCCUCAAAAAUUAUUACCUCAAUGAACAGGAUCCAGACAUCCGCUUCUCUCUGAC